UACGGAGGGUGCAAGCGUUAAUCGGAAUUACUGGGCGUAAAGCGUGCGUAGGUGGUUUGUUAAGUCCGUUGUGAAAACCCCGAGCUCAACUUGGGAAUUGCAGUGGAUACUGGCAAGCUGGAGUGCGGUAGAGGAAGGUGGAAUUCCCGGUGUAGCGGUGAAAUGCGCAGAUAUCAGGAGGAACACCGAUGGCGAAGGCAGGUCUCUGGGCCGCUACUGACGCUGAGAAGCGAAAGCAUGGGGAGCGAACAGG
rnacentral:rRNA from 1 species